UACGAAGGGGGCUAGCGUUGUUCGGAAUCACUGGGCGUAAAGCGCACGUAGGCGGAUCUUUAAGUCAGGGGUGAAAUCCCGAGGCUCAACCUCGGAACUGCCUUUGAUACUGGGGAUCUCGAGUCCGGGAGAGGUGAGUGGAACUGCGAGUGUAGAGGUGAGAUUCGUAGAUAUUCGCAAGAACACCAGUGGCGAAGGCGGCUCACUGGCCCGGUACUGACGCUGAGGUGCGAAAGCGUGGGGAGCAAACAGG
rnacentral:rRNA from 1 species